GACGAACGCUGGCGGCGUGCUUAACACAUGCAAGUCGAGCGAUGAAGCACCUUCGGGUGUGAACCAGCGGCGAACGGGUGAGGAACACGUGAGAAAUCUGCCUUCAACACUGGGAUAACUCCGGGAAACCGGGGCUAAUACCGGAUAUGAAACCUGCGGGCAUCCGCGGGUUUGGAAAGUUUUUCGGUUGAAGAUGAUCUCGCGGCCUAUCAGCUUGUUGGUGAGGUAAUGGCUCACCAAGGCGACGACGGGUAGCCGGCCUGAGAGGGCGACCGGCCACACUGGGACGGAGACACGGCCCAGACUCCUACGGGAGGCAGCAGUGGGGAAUAUUGGGCAAUGGAGGAAACUCUGACCCUGCGACGCCGCGUGCGGGAUGAAGGCCUUCGGGUUGUAAACCGCUUUCAGCAGGGAAGAAGCGAAAGUGACGGUACCUGCAGAAGAAGCACCGGCUAACUAUGUGCCAGCAGCCGCAGUAA
rnacentral:rRNA from 1 species